UACGAAGGGGGCUAGCGUUGCUCGGAAUCACUGGGCGUAAAGGGUGCGUAGGCGGGUUUUUAAGUCAGGGGUGAAAUCCUGGAGCUCAACUCCAGAACUGCCUUUGAUACUGAAGAUCUUGAGUUCGGGAGAGGUGAGUGGAACUGCGAGUGUAGAGGUGAAAUUCGUAGAUAUUCGCAAGAACACCAGUGGCGAAGGCGGCUCACCGGCCCGAUACUGACGCUGAGGCACGAAAGCGUGGGGAGCAAACAGG
rnacentral:rRNA from 1 species